AUGAACCAGAAGCUUCCCCCCCUUCCUCCAGCGAGAAGGGCAGCAUGGCUAGGUCAGCCAAUCAGAGUAACGAGGCUCGGCCGCUUGGCAAAAUGAGAUUAAUCUAAAUCAAAUACUUUCCACCUUGGCAAUUUUAACUAAUUCCCUCAGGAAAGUACAAGAAAUAACCGGAAGCCCCCACAGGCCCGCAAGCCUCCUGGUACGGGCAGGCAGCAAUCAUCAGAGGAUCUAAACUGCCAGGCUCUGAGGGCUGUGCGGAGAGAGAUUCAGGCUGCAGAUUAGAGAGGCUUCCUUCCUCCUGCAAGAUGCAUGUGCUUUCCGGCGUGGUUUGGCGGGACCCGCGCCCACGGACGGACCUGGUGGAGGACAGCGCAGGUGUGCCACGGCCCCUGCGAGCGCGGGGAGCCGCCCCUCUCUGCGGGGAGACCAUCUGUACACCUGAGGCCGGCUCAGCAGGAAAGGCUCCCUGGUUAACACAGCAGGACUUCUCAGAUGACCUUUCCCUUCCGUGAAGGCGGAAGGGAAAGGUCUGACUUAACGCAGGCUCAGCUUUCUCGCUUUUUCAAACAGAAACUGCAGGGGAAACAGACCAGGCUUUAUUUGACUUUGCGGGCACCGACCUAGGACUUUUCCGUGAAGUUCUCCCCCUACUUUUCAGUGGGAAAAAAUUAACAGUGAUAAAGAGAGAAACCCCUCAGUACCCAGAACAAGGUGUUUAUCCACUAGGCUUUGGAGAUUUUUGUUUGUUGGGCUUUUUUCCCCUGUUUUUCUUAAAUGUCAGCUUUAUUGAGGUACAAUUUAAAUGGAGUGAAAUCCUUCCUUUUUGGUACACAGUUCCAUGAGUUUUGACAAAUAAAACCACAAUCGAGACAUAGAACAUUUUUAUUAUCCCCCAAAAUGUCUCAAACCUCCUUUCUAGUUGACCCCUCCCCCAACCCCGGGCAGCCACUGAUCUUUCUGUCCCUAUAGCCUUGCCUUUAGUCCUGCAAGAUUUAUUUAAGGUUUUUAACAAUAACCCUCUUAUUUCAUAACAACUAACCAAUAGGUCCAGUUAGCACAGUAAGAUGUAGUCAAAGGAGCAGCUGUGGAGUCAGACCAACGUAGGUUCCAGCCCUGCCGUGCCCCUUGCUCACU
rnacentral:lncRNA from 1 species